CUUGGUCAUUUAGAGGAAGUAAAAGUCGUAACAAGGUCUCCGUUGGUGAACCAGCGGAGGGAUCAUUACAGAGUUGCAAAACUCCCUAAACCAUUGUGAACGUUACCUAAACCGUUGCUUCGGCGGGCGGCCCCGGGGUUUACCCCCCGGGCGCCCCUGGGCCCCACCGCGGGCGCCCGCCGGAGGUCACCAAACUCUUGAUAAUUUAUGGCCUCUCUGAGUCUUCUGUACUGAAUAAGUCAAAACUUUCAACAACGGAUCUCUUGGUUCUGGCAUCGAUGAAGAACGCAGCGAAAUGCGAUAAGUAAUGUGAAUUGCAGAAUUCAGUGAAUCAUCGAAUCUUUGAACGCACAUUGCGCCCGCCAGUAUUCUGGCGGGCAUGCCUGUUCGAGCGUCAUUUCAACCAUCAAGCCCCCGGGCUUGUGUUGGGGACCUGCGGCUGCCGCAGGCCCUGAAAAGCAGUGGCGGGCUCGCUGUCACACCGAGCGUAGUAGCAUACAUCUCGCUCUGGGCGUGCUGCGGGUUCCGGCCGUUAAACCACCUUUUAACCCAAGGUUGACCUCGGAUCAGGUAGGAAGACCCGCUGAACUUAAGCAUAUCAAUAAGCGGAGGA
rnacentral:rRNA from 1 species